UACGGAGGGGGCUAGCGUUGUUCGGAAUUACUGGGCGUAAAGCGCACGUAGGCGGCUUUGUAAGUUAGAGGUGAAAGCCCAGGGCUCAACCCUGGAAUUGCCUUUAAGACUGCAUCGCUUGAACAUCGGAGAGGUAAGUGGAAUUCCGAGUGUAGAGGUGAAAUUCGUAGAUAUUCGGAAGAACACCAGUGGCGAAGGCAGCACUCUGGGACGUGACUGACGCUGAGACGCGAAAGCGUGGGGAGCAAACAGG
rnacentral:rRNA from 1 species